CCUACGGGAGGCAGCAGUGGGGAAUAUUGCACAAUGGGGGAAACCCUGAUGCAGCCAUGCCGCGUGUGUGAAGAAGGCUUUCGGGUUGUAAAGCACUUUCAGCGAGGAAGAAAGCGUGCCGUUUAAUACCCGGUACGGACGACAUCACUCGCAGAAGAAGCACCGGCUAACUCCGUGCCAGCAGCCGCGGUAAUACGGAGGGUGCAAGCGUUAAUCGGAAUUACUGGGCGUAAAGCGCGCGUAGGCGGCGUGUCACGCCGGGUGUGAAAGCCCCGGGCUCAACCUGGGAACGGCAUCCGGAACGGGCAGGCUAGAGUGCAGGAGAGGAAGGUAGAAUUCCCGGUGUAGCGGUGAAAUGCGUAGAGAUCGGGAGGAAUACCAGUGGCGAAGGCGGCCUUCUGGCCUGACACUGACGCUGAGGUGCGAAAGCGUGGGUAGCAAACAGGAUUAGAUACCCUGGUAGUCCACGCCGUAAACGAUGUCGACUAGCCGUUGGGUCCCUUGAGGACUUAGUGGCGCAGUUAACGCGAUAAGUCGACCGCCUGGGGAGUACGGCCGCAAGGUUAAAACUCAAAUGAAUUGACGGGGGCCCGCACAAGCGGUGGAGCAUGUGGUUUAAUUCGAUGCAACGCGAAGAACCUUAC
rnacentral:rRNA from 1 species